rnacentral:rRNA from 1 species
UACGGAGGGAGCUAGCGUUGUUCGGAAUUACUGGGCGUAAAGCGCACGUAGGCGGCUUUUUAAGUCAGGGGUGAAAUCCCGGGGCUCAACCCCGGAACUGCCCUUGAAACUGGAGAGCUAGAAUCUUGGAGAGGCGAGUGGAAUUCCGAGUGUAGAGGUGAAAUUCGUAGAUAUUCGGAAGAACACCAGUGGCGAAGGCGACUCGCUGGACAAGUAUUGACGCUGAGGUGCGAAAGCGUGGGGGGCAAACAGG